GAUGAACGCUAGCGGCAGGCUUAAUACAUGCAAGUCGAACGGUAACAGGUCUGUAGCAAUACUGGGCGGCGACCGGCAAACGGGUGCGGAACACGUACACAACCUUCCGAGAAGUGGGGAAUAGCCCAGAGAAAUUUGGAUUAAUACCCCGUAACAUAACGAUGUGGCAUCACAUUGUUAUUAUAGCUUCGGCGCUUCUUGAUGGGUGUGCGGCUGAUUAGAUAGUUGGCGGGGUAACGGCCCACCAAGUCUACGAUCAGUAGCUGAUGUGAGAGCAUGAUCAGCCACACGGGCACUGAGACACGGGCCCGACUCCUACGGGAGGCAGCAGUAAGGAAUAUUGGUCAAUGGACGCAAGUCUGAACCAGCCAUGCCGCGUGAAGGAUUAAGGUCCUCUGGAUUGUAAACUUCUUUUAUCUGGGACGAAAAAAGGCGAUUCUUCGUCACUUGACGGUACCAGAUGAAUAAGCACCGGCUAACUCCGUGCCAGCCGCCGCAGUAACAC
rnacentral:rRNA from 1 species